rnacentral:rRNA from 1 species
AUUGAACGCUGGCGGCAGGCCUAACACAUGCAAGUCGAGCGGAAAAGGGGGGCUUUCUCCUGGUUUACGCGUCGGCCGGGGGGGUAUUGCCAGUGAUUCUGCUGGUUGUGGGGGUAUAACGUCGGGAACAGGCCGCUAAUACCACAUACUUCCUGAGGGAGAAGGUGGGGGAUCUUCGGACAUCCUCCUCUCGGAUGGGCCUAGGUCGGAUUAGCUAGUUGGUGGGUUAAGGGCCUACCAAGGCGACGAUCCGUAACUGGUCUGAGAGGAUGAUCAGUCACACUGGAACUGAGACACGGUCCAGACUCCUACGGGAGGCAGCAGUGGGGAAUAUUGGACAAUGGGCGAAAGCCUGAUCCAGCCAUGCCGCGUGUGUGAAGAAGGUCUUCGGAUUGUAAAGCACUUUAAGUUGGGAGGAAGGGCAGUAAGUUAAUACCUUGCGGUUUUGACGUUACCAACAGAAUAAGCACCGGCUAACUUCGUG